rnacentral:rRNA from 1 species
GGUCAAGCGAGCGAAUGCAAGUCGAGGAUGCCUUGGCACACGAAGGCGAUGAAGGGCGCGGUAAGCUGCGAUAAGCCCAGGGGAGCGGCACACACGCUUUGAUCCUGGGAUGCCCGAAUGGGGAAACCCGGCCGUCAGGAAUGGCGGUCACGGCGAAAGCCGAGCUAACCCAGGGAACUGAAACAUCUAAGUACCUGGUGGAAAGAGAAAUCAACCGAGAUGCCCCAAGUAGCGGCGAGCGAACGGGGUAGAGCCCAAACCGAGGUCCUUGUGGCCGCGGGGUUGUAGGACCCACAUACGCGUCAGGCGACGUCAGCUGAAGUGCAACUGGAACGUUCCGCCAUAGACGGUGAAAGCCCGGUAAGCGAAGACCAUGCACCUGGCGUAGUGGAGUUCCUGAGUAACGCCCGACUCGAGUAAUCGGGCGUGAAACCGGGGGGACCACCCUCCAAGGCUAAAGACUCUCGUGUGACCGAUAGUGAACGAGUACCGUGAGGGAAAGGUGAAAAGCACCCCAGUGCGGGGAGUGAAAGAGAUCCUGAAACGACUUGCAUACAAGCGGUAGGAGGUUGGGCAGGGGCUUGCCUCUGUCACGACUGACUGCGUGCCUUUUGCAUUAUGAUCCGGCGAGUUACUCCUCAGGAGCGAGGCUAAGCUGUUCAGCAGCGGAGCCACAGCGAAAGCGAGUCCUGUAACGAGGGCGACUGAGUUCCUGGGGGUACGACCCGAAGCCAGGGCGAUCUACCCAUGAGCAGGGUGAAGCUGCGGUAACACGCAGUGGAGGCCCGAACCGGUAUGGGUUGAAAACCGUUCGGAUGACUUGUGGGUAGGGGUGAAAGGCCAAUCAAGCCUGGAGAUAGCUGGUUCUCCCCGAAAUCUAUUGAGGUAGAGCCUCGAGCAAUUGUGUACAGGAGGUAGAGCGACUGGAUGGGCGCGGGCUGGCGUAGCUGGUACCAACCCCAACCAAACUCCGAAUGCCUGUUACAUGUAUCUCGGGAGGCAGUCGCUGAGCGAUAAUGUCCAGCGGCGAGAGGGAAAGAACCCAGAACCACAGCUAAGGCCCCAAAGUGGCCGCUGAGUAUAGCGAAGGAUGUGUCCCUACACUGACAACUGGGAGGUUGGCUUAGAAGCAGCCACUCCUUUAAAGAGUGCGUAAUAGCUCACCAGUCCAGUGGGAAUGCGCCGAGAAUGGUCGGGAUUAAGCGGCCCGCCGAAGCUUGGUC